rnacentral:rRNA from 1 species
UACGAAGGGGGCUAGCGUUGUUCGGAUUUACUGGGCGUAAAGCGCACGUAGGCGGAUUGGUCAGUUAGGGGUGAAAUCCCAGAGCUCAACUCUGGAACUGCCUUUAAUACUGCCAGUCUCGAGUCCGGAAGAGGUGAGUGGAACUCCUAGUGUAGAGGUGGAAUUCGUAGAUAUUAGGAAGAACACCAGUGGCGAAGGCGGCUCACUGGUCCGGUACUGACGCUGAGGUGCGAAAGCGUGGGGAGCAAACAGG